GACGAACGCUGGCGGCGUGCUUAACACAUGCAAGUCGAGCGGAAAGGCCACUUCGGUGGUACUCGAGCGGCGAACGGGUGAGUAACACGUGAGUAAUCUGCCCUUGGCUUUGGGAUAGCCACCGGAAACGGUGAUUAAUACCGGAUAUGACCACUUCUCGCAUGGGAUGGUGGUGGAAAGUUUUUCGGCCAGGGAUGUGCUCGCGGCCUAUCAGCUUGAUGGUGAGGUAAUGGCUCACCAUGGCUUCGACGGGUAGCCGGCCUGAGAGGGUGACCGGUCACACUGGGACUGAGACACGGCCCAGACUCCUACGGGAGGCAGCAGUGGGGAAUAUUGGACAAUGGGCGGAAGCCUGAUCCAGCAACGCCGCGUGAGGGAUGACGGCCUUCGGGUUGUAAACCUCUUUCGCCAAUGACGAAGCGCAAGUGACGGUAAUAGGUAAAGAAGCACCGGCCAACUAUGUGCCAGCCGCCGCAGUAAUAC
rnacentral:rRNA from 1 species